GUAGGUGGCAAGCGUUGUCCGGAAUUAUUGGGCGUAAAGCGCGCGCAGGCGGUUCUUUAAGUCUGAUGUGAAAGCCCACGGCUCAACCGUGGAGGGUCAUUGGAAACUGGAGAACUUGAGUACAGAAGAGGAAAGCGGAAUUCCACGUGUAGCGGUGAAAUGCGUAGAGAUGUGGAGGAACACCAGUGGCGAAGGCGGCUUUCUGGUCUGUAACUGACGCUGAGGCGCGAAAGCGUGGGGAGCAAACAGGGAUUAGAUACCCUGGUAGUCCACGCCGUAAACGAUGAGUGCUAAGUGUUAGGGGGUUUCCGCCCCCUUAGUGCUGCAGCUAACGCAUUAAGUACUCCGCCUGGGGAUACGGCCGCAAGGCUG
rnacentral:rRNA from 1 species